rnacentral:rRNA from 1 species
CCCUACCGGCCGGGGACAACACGUCCAAAGGGGUGCUAAUACCGGAUACGAAGUCUGUGCCGCAUGGUACGGAUUUGAAAGAUGGCCUCUAUUUAUAAGCUAUCGCCGGGGGAUGGGCCUGCGUCCGAUUAGCUGGUUGGUGGGUAACGGCCUACCAAGGCGACGAUCGGUAGCCGGUCUGAGAGGAUGAACGGCCACAUUGGGACUGAGACACGGCCCAGACUCCUACGGGAGGCAGCAGUGGGGAAUCUUCCGCAAUGGGCGCAAGCCUGACGGAGCAACGCCGACCGUGAGUGAGGAAGUUCUUCGGAACGUAAAGCUCUGUUGUUCCUGACGAACCUCCCCUUUAUCAACAACGGAGGGGACUGACGGUAGGAACGAGGAAGCCACGGCUAACUACGUGCCAGCAGCCGC